rnacentral:rRNA from 1 species
AGUGGGGAAUCUUGCACAAUGGGGGAAACCCUGAUGCAGCGACGCCGCGUGAGCGAUGAAGCCCUUCGGGGUGUAAAGCUCUUUCGGCAGGGAAGAUGAUGACGGUACCUGCAGAAGCAGCUGCGGCUAACUACGUGCCAGCAGCCGCGGUAAUACGUAGGCAGCAAGCGUUGUUCGGAGUUACUGGGCGUAAAGGGUGUGUAGGCGGUUGUUUAAGUUUGGUGUGAAAUCUCCCGGCUCAACUGGGAGGGUGCGCCGAAUACUGAAUGACUUGGAGUGCGGGAGAGGAGAGUGGAAUUCCUGGUGUAGCGGUGAAAUGCGUAGAUAUCAGGAGGAACACCGGUGGUGUAGACGGCUCUCUGGACCGUAACUGACGCUGAGACACGAAAGCGUGGGUAGCAAA